GAUGAACGCUGGCGGCGUGCCUAAUACAUGCAAGUCGAGCGAACAGAUGAGGAGCUUGCUCCUCUGACGUUAGCGGCGGACGGGAGAGUAACACGUGGAUAACCUACCUAUAAGACUGGGAUAACUUCGGGAAACCGGAGCUAAUACCGGAUAAUAUAUUGAACCGCAUGGUUCAAUAGUGAAAGUCGGUUUUGCUGUCACUUAUAGAUGGAUCCGCGCCGCAUUAGCUAGUUGGUAAGGUAACGGCUUACCAAGGCAACGAUGCGUAGCCGAGCUGAGAGGGUGAUAGGCCACCUUGGAACUGAGACGCGGUCCAGACUCCUACGGGAGGCAGCAGUAGGGAAUCUUCCGCAAUGGUCGAAAGCCUGACGGAGCAACGCCGCGUGAGUGAUGAAGGUCUUCGGAUCGUAAAACUCUGUUAUUAGGGAAGAACAAAUGUGUAAGUAACUAUGCACGUCUUGACGGUACCUAAUCAGAAAGCCACGGCUAACUACGUG
rnacentral:rRNA from 1 species